UCAUAUGGAGAUUACAGAAUAUUUCGUUUUCCAAAUAAUUCUGUAACAUCAGUGAAAUGGAGGAUUUAAAUGGGAAAAAGUCUGAGAAUGGCAGGGUUUGGGAGUGCGAAGAUAGCAACGAAUGGCUUGAAGAGUCUCCUCAUAAGAGGACUCGUCUCGAAGACUCAAAAGAAGUAAGGGUUUGGAUAUGUAGGCAAUUAGAACCUAUCGAGUCGAACACCGUUGGUGACCUAACUCUACAAAUUUCUGAAGAGACGCCCGAUACAAUUGAUUCAGUAAUUUAAAAUAUUGACUGUGUACUUUUAUUAAAUGCGAGACUUGCAGGGCCGCCUAAUUAGCCGGAUGAAUACAAAGAAGAUGUGUGCUAUUUGCUACUUAGUUGGACAAUAUAAAAACCAUUUUCUCCUUUUA